rnacentral:rRNA from 1 species
UCGAUCUCAAAUCAAGUAAGACUACCCGCUGAACCU